UGGAGCAGAAAAUCUUGGAGGGAACAUCAAUACUAUUCUAAUGACAUUCCAUAGGAAUAAAAAUCCAAUGGGACCAAGUUCUUAGCAGUUCACACCUAGUCAGAAGUACAAAAUUGAGAACCAUGCCGAUCAGCAAGUGUUAGUUACAAUCUAAUGAGGAACAGGAUAUCUGAAUGGAAAAAUUGCAAGGUUUCCCACUUCCCAAGCUGUUCAAGUACUGGUAUCACAACAUAAGUGCC